CAAUUUCUAAGAGCUCUGCUACAGGUAGUCCUUGAUUUAUGACCAAAAUUGAGCCCAAAAUUUAUUUUGCUAAGUGAGACAUUUGGUAAGUGAGGGUUUUUUUGAGCCAUUUUAUGACUUUUCUUGCCACCGUUGUUAAGUGAAUCAUUGCAAUUGUUAACUUAACAAGUUGUUAAGUGAAUCUGGAUUCCCCAUGGACUUGGCUUGUCACCACAGGGGAUCACGACCCCAGGUCACUGCAAUCGUCAUAAAUGACUUGAAAUGGCUGCUUCACAUUAGAACCAUCAUUAAAAAGGAAAAUAAUGAAUGUUUUUCCUGCAUCAACUCAGAAAAGCUCAAACUUCCCGAGCUGCUGCUGAUCCAACGUCUACAGAGGAAUUGAUUGAGUCUGUCAUCUGCACCUCCAUAACUGUCUGGUUUGGCUCUGCAACCCAACAAGACAGACACGGACUUCGGAGGAUAAUCAGAACUGCAGAAAAAACAAGGGCUACCAACCUGCCUUCCACUGAGUGCCUGUAUACUGCACGAGUCAAAAAGAGGGCUGGGAAAAUAUUUACAGAUCCUCGCAUCCUGGACAUAAUUUAUUUCAACUUCUCCCCUUAAAACUAGACACAGGACAGAUUUCCCCCCCAUGCCAUUACUUGGCUAAACACUUAAUUCCCACAGCACUGUCUCAUUUCUCAUCUUUCCUAACUUAUAUUAGUUUAUGAUUUAUAAAAUUGAUGUUUGUAACUUAUGAUUAAUGAUUGUAAUUAUUAUUUAUGAUCUAUGACCGAUUAUUUGUUGUUUGCAUAUAUACUGUGAGUUUAUGCACCUGAAAUUUCUUGUGUGUCCAAUCACACUUGGCUAAUAAAAAAUUAUGUUGUGUUGUA